rnacentral:rRNA from 1 species
CUGCCUGGUAGUGGGGGACGAACGUUUCGAAAGGAACGCUAAUACCGCAUACGUCCUACGGGAGAAAGCAGGGACCUUCGGGCCUUGCGCUAUCAGAUGAGCCUAGGUCGGAUUAGCUAGUUGGUGAGGUAAUGGCUCACCAAGGCGACGAUCCGUAACUGGUCUGAGAGGAUGAUCAGUCACACUGGAACUGAGACACGGUCCAGACUCCUACGGGAGGCAGCAGAC